rnacentral:rRNA from 1 species
GACGAACCGUGCGAACGUUGUUCGGAAUCACUGAGUUAAAGGGCGCGUAGGCGGGCUGUCAAGUCCGGGGUGAAAUCCUCCCGCUCAACGGGAGAACGGCCUCGGAUACUGACGAUCUCGAGGGGGAUAGGGGCACGCGGAACUGUGGGUGGAGCGGUGAAAUGCGUUGAUAUCCAUAGGAACUCCGGUGGCGAAGGCGGCGUGCUGGAUCCCCUUCUGACGCUGAGGCGCGAAAGCCAGGGGAGCAAACGGG